rnacentral:lncRNA from 1 species
AGAAACCAUCACCAGCCGAGACGCUGCCCGCUUCCCCAUCAUCGCCAGCUGUACACUCUUGGGGCUCUACCUCUUUUUCAAACUGUUCUCCCAGGAGUACAUCAACCUCUUGCUGUCCAUGUAUUUCUUCGUGCUGGGGAUCCUGGCCCUGUCCCACACCAUCAGGUCAGAAGGCAUCUCUCCACAGCCCUUGAAGCUGCUUCUCAGGAGCCAGUACAGGGUCUUGGAUGAGAACGUGAUCUUUUGUGUCAUUCAAAGUCAGGUUUAAAUCCUGCCUAUAAAAUCUAAGGGAAUCUUCCCCUCA